rnacentral:rRNA from 1 species
CCUACGGGAGGCAGCAGUCGAGAAUCAUUCACAAUGGGGGAAACCCUGAUGGUGCGACGCCGCGUGGGGGAAUGAAGGUCUUCGGAUUGUAAACCCCUGUCAUGUGGGAGCAAAUUAAAAAGAUAGUACCACAAGAGGAAGAGACUGCUAACUCUGUGCCAGCAGCCGCGGUAAUACAGAGGUCUCAAGCGUUGUUCGGAAUCACUGGGCGUAAAGCGUGCGUAGGCUGUUUCGUAAGUCGUGUGUGAAAGGCGCGGGCUAAACCCGCGGACGGCAUAUGAUACUGGGAGACUAGAGUAAUGGAGGGGGAACCGGAAUUCGCGGUGUAGCAGUGAAAUGCGUAGAUAUCGAGAGGAACACUCGUGGCGAAGGCGGGUUACUGGACAUUAACUGACGCUGAGGGACGAAGGCCAGGGGAGCGAAAGGGAUUAGAUACCCGAGUAGUC